CCCCAGAUGUUGCUGAACUACAACUCCCAUGAUUCCCUGGAUGUUUCAUUGAAAGAAUCAUGGGAGUUGUAGUUCAGCAACAUCUGGGG
rnacentral:miRNA from 1 species